rnacentral:rRNA from 1 species
GUAUCAAUAAGCGGAGGAAAAGAAACUAACAAGGAUUCCCUUAGUAACGGCGAGUGAAGCGGGAACAGCUCAAAUUUGAAAUCUCAUACCUUUGGUAUGCGAAUUGUAGUUUAAAGAAGCGUUUUCUGAGUUGGCCUCAGUACAAGUUCUCUGGAACGAGACAUCAUAGAGGGUGAAAAUCCCGUCUUUGACUGAGAUACCAACUCUCUGCGAUACGUUUUCUAAGAGUCGGUUUGUUUGGGAAUGCAGACCAAAAUGGGUGGUAAAUACCAUCUAAAGCUAAAUAUUGGCGAGAGACCGAUAGCGCACAAGUA